UGUAUCCACAAAAAAAAAAAAAAAACAAUAAUGCACCCCAGCUCUCAGAACUACAUGGAGUAAACAAAAAAGUAGUGUUUAUGCACACUUAUAUAGGAUGGCCUGUGUGUGAAGUGCUUGUCUUUCCUUGAUGGUAAAGGGAGUUUCAAACCUUAAAAUUUUAUUAUGAACCAAAAUGCAAUACCAACUUCAAAAUAAGCUACAGCUUGCUGGAGUGGUCCAGCUGUAUAAUUUCUAAGACUUUUGUACAAAGUCAAGCCCUUUCCUUAGCCAUUCCACACCAUCAAAUGACCUGCAGGAUGGCAUAAGAGUUUGAAUCCACAUACUUUUUUUUAAUCUAUACUUAACACAAUCAUUAAAAGGCAGUAGGUGCAUAAACAUUUGUUUACUCCAUGUAGUUCUGAGCUGUACAUUUUGAUUUUCUCAAAUACAUCAAGGUAAGUGCACAAAGUUCUCUCUCUGUUUCGCACACACACAAUAUAAUAUGCUGUUAUACCCCAUAUAGCUUCAUUUACAAGUCAGAAACUAAGCUUUUUUUGCAAAAGCCCAUCUAAAGGGUUCAUGGUCCCACAUAGUGAUCAACUGGAGUAACAAAUUUUACCUCUUCCCAACAGAGAAAACCACAAAACAAGAAUGCAUGAUUAUAUGGUGUCAUGGCUUUGCAAUCAAAAUGUCAUUAUAAUAGAAGUCAAUGGGGCAAAAACAGCCACCAAUAAUAAAAUGGAUAAUUUUUUUUUCUAAUGUUGCAUAAAAACUAAAAGUGCAUAAAAGCCAAUGAUGUUACUAAUCUUUUACAUACCCAAGACUGUAAUAAAAAGUAACAAAAAAAUCCAGUCACAAUACUUUUAUAUUGAAAGUGACAAUUUAUGAACUUGCCACUUAAAGAGUUGAAAUCUUGGAUCGUUUUAAAAAUGUAGUAGUUUUCAUUAGGACUGAGGUUGAUUGAUAGAUUCAUGCAAAAAUAAAAAAUAAAUAGAGACAUUUUUACAGCAGUUUAAUGAAGUUGAUGUUUUUAUCCUGAACAUAACAAAAAGGUAGUGAAUUUGAACAAUGCACAAGGGUUAAACAUUUACUUCAACAAUAUACUUCAAACUCUUUUUAAUGGUUACAAAUAGUUGCCUUACCUCAGCUUGCAGUCUUUAACCAGUGCACCACCACACAUAAAAGAAAAAAAUGGGUAUACUUGUCAGGCAUGCUUUGUUAUACAGUACAUUUACUUCAGCAGUAUAUUCUAAGUGCAUUUUAAUAAAGUUCAAGAAGUUUGUCAUACCUCAACUUUGUCUUUUACCAGUGUACCACCACAUGCAAAAAAGUGAUAAGUUAAGCAUUUUAGGAACUUAACAUACAUUUAAAAAGUACAUUCAAAUUAUUUUUACAUAUACAAGAAUUAUAAAGGUUAAAUCAACUCACACUCUUGUCAAUUCACCAGCACACAUAAAAAGUAGUACGGUUUAGCAUAUAUUCAAGUUACACAACUUUUCAUAGUUAAUUAUAAACUCUUUAUUAAGCUUUAUCAAUUAAGAAGACCAUUUUCAAGAAAAUAUAGUGUAGACUACUAAAACUAAAUUACUUUGUUUAUAUAAUUUGUAAACAAUCUGAAUCAGAAUUAGUAAAUUCUUGUGCAUCACUUUACCAAAAAAUAAAAAUAAAAACCCACACAAAAUCCCUAAUAUUAAACAUAAAAUUACCUUCCGAUAAACUCCAGAAUUGCAUUACAGAUCAAACAAUAGACUAGCAUAAUAAGAAAACUAUCCAAUUAAAGUAAAGAGAAAACACUUCAAAGGAGUUGCCAUUUUGAACACAUGGUCAUUGCAAACAACAAGCAAAAUGAACAUAUUAAAUAUUUGAGCAAAAUAUCCACAAUCAAAACUAAGAAGAAAUAAUCAAUACACAGACACUUUUAAAACAAACAUACCUGCUUUAGAAAAACAGAUAAACCGAGCAGCACAUGCUCUCUCCUUGAUAUACUGCCAAAUUAAGACCAGGUGCAGCUUGAUGAAUUGGUUAGCAUGUGCUCUAAUGCUUCUGUGAACGUUCUCAUACCUUAACCUCUCCUCUGAAGCUCGUUGAAUAUGCAUCGAUGGUUGCACAUGCACCAAAUAGCUCUUGUGGACUGAAGUGAAUGUUGCUUUUGCUCCAGAUAUUGGAUUUUCUGUGUGUAUUGUAGCAUAAAUUUGUUUUUUGGUCAAUCUGAUCUGAAUUGCUGUUCAUUUUUUUUAACUUGUCCACUUCUGAACUUAUUUGUUGUUUAAUCUACAUUCUAUUUCAGCUGUAUUUGCUUUUCUUGCUCUGCACUAUAUUACAUAAACAUUCUUGGUUAGCAUGCAAGUUAGUGCUUGAUCUGUGUUCCUUUUUAUAUUAAAACAUAUUUUCAAAAUUAUGGUGACUGUGUUCCAUAUGUUGGCAGAGUGUGAUAACAUGCUCUCACGGAUGAUGUCACAGGUUUUAAUUUUUGUUUGGGGUGACAUUAUAAUAGAACAUCUGAUCAACAAUACAGGAAUAACUAUACAUAUUUUCAGUUGCUCAUCCUGCUCUGCAUUACACUUGCUACCCAUAUUGCUGGUUGCAGAUAUUUUAUAUUCUUUAUAUAUUCAUAGUUAUUGAAAGACAUUAUAUUUGCGGUACUGUAUUGUUUUGUUACAUUUGAUAUCAUAACCCCCAACAAGUUUCACUUCACUGAUGCAGAUGUGUGCUUGUGUUUUCAGAAAUAUAUUAAACCAUGAAAAAAAUUAUAUAUACAAACUAUUUAAAGAUAUUUCUUAUUAUAAAAUAUAUUUUGUUUCAGAGUCAAUUUCAUGUUCUUAGAAAAGUUUUUCAUGAUUUUGCUUAAUUAUUAUGCUAAUGUUAAUGAACUACUAACCAAAUACUGAACAAUGUACACAAAAAUCAUUAAGAUUAAAUAAGAUUAAAUAAUAAAAAAACAGCAACAUUUGUCAGUCAACAUUUCGAAAAUGAUAUAUAAAAGUAUACAAACAAGUUAAUAAUAACAUAUGGCAUGUUGUCCAUAUCAUGUGAACCUGUCAUUAUCAUGUGAACACAAUAAACUAACGAGCUCAUUAACAAUUUCCUCAUUACUCAAUUAAGCUGCACAAUUGCAAAAAAACAUUUAAAUAAGCUAUUUUAUUUGGUUCAAACUUGACCACGUGGUGCAUCAACCGUAGUGAAGUCAGCUGAAGAACAGAAAACGGUAAGAAUUUGUUCUUAUGUGUGUAAAAUGUUUUCAGUUUCUUAAACCCUACAUGUACUAAUUCUAUAUCCUAUCUUAAUUUUUUUCUAGAUAUGGCAAGUACUUCAACUGCCAGUCUUAACCAGUCUGUUACUGGCUACAUACACAAUGUCACACCUCUGCGUCAUGGGGUUAAAAGACAGUACUUUGAAGGAGUCUUACAACAACGCCACAAAGUAUGUAAGGUUGUGGUGUUCAAGGUGGAGCUCCAUUCGAAGUUUCUGAAGAUUGAGAAAGACCGAUGCCCGGUCCAACUCAAUAAUGUGGUUGUCCAGCCAUCAAGGAGAGAAGAUGGAAUGGACAUACUCUUCACCCACCAAUCAAAAUGGUGUUGUUUGACUUCAAUUGACUACCCUUACAACCCCACCAUAAUGGUCACCAUUCAAGACCAAACAAUUAGUCAGAUUCUGCAAAUCGACAUGGAAUACCACAGAAUCCAGGAACUGAAUUCAUAAUUAAAUAUCAGGUAAUAGUAACCGUAUUAGACUGUCCCAAUAUCUUGUUUAUGCUCCUUCAGGUAACUUUAAAAGUCAACUUGUUGUCUUCUCGAAGAGUUGGUUGACAUAGUUGUAAAGUUACUGUUACUAGACUACAUAGUGGGAUAUGAAUAGUAAUGAAACUAGAAGUGUCAUAUGACACUAAUUUGUAUUGUUAAUGUUCUUCAGGUUAACAUCACCGCAAAGCUGAUCCAGAGGGAAAGCGAAGGACAUGCCUUCCUUCAGGAUGAUGUCUUGUUAGAAAAGGCAGUCUACACCAUAGCGGACACCACAGGAAUAAUGGAGCUCACUGUCUGGGGCGAGCAAAACCUUCAGCUGGACUCCUGGUUUUAUAUAACCAAUGUUUCUUUACGGAUGUUCCGAGGUACAAAAUUCCUAUCCACAACAAAAGACACAAAAUUCACACCCACCACAUGCACUGACCCCACAUUUCCACUACAGCCCACCACAUCUGAACAGGUCACUGGAAACAUAAUUGGCGCCAAAGUUACCAUAAUAUACAUUUGUCCACUUAAGCAUAAGUUGCAUAACAUGGCACUUUCCUGCACAAGAGUCCUGUGUGACAAGUGCGAUAUAUUUUACAGAACUGACGCCAUUACACUACACACACACGCCAGGCUCAAAAUAACCACCACAACUUCAGAUGAAAUAAAAUCUGUUAACAUCGAGAACCACGUUCUCCGAGCCACGAUCCAAAUUCCAAAAAACGCCACAACCGACACAAUAAUGGACUCUAUUUUGGACCUCCCCACUAUGAACAUAACAAUACACAACCACUACAUUACCCACCUGGCAUAUCCAGAGAAAUCUCAUACAGACACCCCACAACCCAACAGUCCACUUGUGCACUUCUCCCCACCUACACAACCACCAGCUCCAAGUGAAGACCUAGCGGAACUUGACCUUUUUAUGGUGGAAUCUCCACUAGACACCCAGCCAAAAGUAAACCAGCCAACUCCCCCAUCUCCCACUUCUAUUGCUGAUACCCCAAAAUAAGUAAUGCCUUGUUGGUUUUAAAUUGAAACUUAUUUUUUUUUUUUUUUUUUUUUUUACUGGAAAUGUGGUGUUUUAAGUUUCAAUCCUGUGUACGCUUGAGGUAGCUCUUUUUAUCCUCCCUAAUUUAAAUUGUGAAUAUUGAAGAUGUUGUAUACAUUUCCAAAAAUAUAUUUCUGUCUUUGACUAUGGGGAUGUGUUAUUUCUGUUAAUAAAGAACCCUCACUUCAAUGCUUUACUCUUGUUUGCUUUAUUAAAUUGCUGCAAAGUUGGUUUGUCAAUACACAAUGGGAGAAGUUUAAUUUUGUUUAACCUUUUAAUCUGUUAGUGUCUUUACUUGAGACCGAGAUGAGAAUUUUGUCAGACUUGUUAAAGCUACUUGUACACUAUUUUGAAGUCCUUUCCAAUAUCUUUUAAACUUAACAUGGCUGAACAAGAGGUGCAUGUCCUGAAAGACUACAUGCUAUGCACUCUAUAGUUUGACAUUUUGCAAGUUUAUUGCAAAAGUUAACCUAUUUGAAACCCCUUUUAAUUACUAAGAAAUAACUACUGGAAUUGAGCAUGCCUAUGUUUGACUUCACAUUAAUUGCAAACUGCAUGACCAUUAACCAGAAGUUAUUAAAUUGUGUACUGAACAAGGUCAACCUCAAAUCGGUUCAGAGGCUAUCUAGUCUUAAGUUUAAUUUAAUCGAAACCAAAUUUGGUACACUCCAUCUACACCAUUAUCUGAGGGUUCAAUGGGAACAAUGCCACCUAUGGGUGUUGAGAUACCAAAAAUGCACAUUUGCCUAACUCCUGAAAAGUCAGUCAGAAAAUUAUGAUCUUGGUGCCUAUGGAUUCUGUGGGUUAUGCCAACUCGGUCUCAUUCAUCAUUUUCCAACAUGACGUCUGUCCACAAUAUUGAGUUGAAUAAACUUUUUUUUUUUUUUUUUUUUGCAAUUACACCUUUGAAAUCUGGUUCAAUUUUGUAAAAUUUUAUAUCUUAAGACCAGAUUUAUGAUAUUCACUCCCAUUCCCGACAUGUACCUCUUGGAUGUUGACCGUGCCUGUGCUUGUUGAUUUAUGCUAGUUAGCUUAGCAUGCUAAUUAGCUAAAAUGCUAACACGUUUCUAUUGACUCUAAUGGGUCUCCUGAGGU